UACGUAGGAUGCGAGCGUUAAUCGGAAUUACUGGGCGUAAAGCGUGCGCAGGCGGUGAUGUAAGACAGGUGUGAAAUCCCCGGGCUUAACCUGGGAACUGCAUUUGUGACUGCAUCGCUGGAGUGCGGCAGAGGGGGAUGGAAUUCCUGGUGUAAGCAGUGAAAUGCGUAGAUAUCAGGAGGAAUACCGAUGGCGAAGGCAGGUCUCUGGGCUGACACUGACGCUCAUGCACGAAAGCGUGGGGAGCAACAGG
rnacentral:rRNA from 1 species